UACAGAGACUGCAAGCGUUAUUCGGAUUCACUGGGCGUAAAGGGUGCGCAGGCGGUCGGGUGUGUCAGAUGUGAAAUCCCGAGGCUCAACCUCGGAACUGCGUCUGAAACUACUCGACUAGAGUACUGGAGAGGGUAACGGAAUUCACGGUGUAGCAGUGAAAUGCGUAGAUAUCGGGAGGAACACCAGUGGCGAAGGCGGGUCUCUGGGCCGAUACUGACGCUGAGGAGCGAAAGCGUGGGGAGCGAACAGG
rnacentral:rRNA from 1 species